AUUGAACGCUGGCGGCAGGCCUAACACAUGCAAGUCGGACGAGCGGCGGACGGGUGAGUAAUGUAUGGGAACCUGCCCGAUGGCGGGGGAUAACUACUGGAAAGGGUGGCUAAUACCGCAUACCAUCAGAUGAACCCAUAUGGGAUUAGCUUGUGGGUGAGGUAACGGCUCACCCAGGCCACGAUCCCUAGCUGGUCUGAGAGGAUGAUCAGCCACACUGGGACUGAGACACGGCCCAGACUCCUACGGGAGGCAGCAGUGGGGAAUAUUGGACAAUGGGGGCAAGCCGGAUGCAGCCAUGCCGCGUGUAUGAAGAAGGCCUUCGGGUUGUAAAGUACGUUCAGUCGGGAGGCGGUACCGACAGAAGAAGCACCGGCUAACUCCGUGCCAGCCGCCGCGGUAAUUC
rnacentral:rRNA from 1 species